CCACGCUAAGAGGGCUUUGGAGGCGUUGUGCUUGCCCGUCGUUACUCCUUUACAGGAAGUUGUCAGCCAAGGCCCAGACACAUUAAAUAGCAAGCCUGCUCGUGAUUU